GCUUUACACAUGCAAGUCGAACGGCAGCACGGAGCUUGCUCUGGUGGCGAGUGGCGAACGGGUGAGUAAUGCGUCGGAACGUAUCCAAUAAUGGGGGAUAACGCAGCGAAAGCUGUGCUAAUACCGCAUACGCCCUGAGGGGGAAAGCAGGGGAUCUUCGGACCUUGCGUUAGUGGAGCGGCCGACGUCUGAUUAGCUAGUUGGUAGGGUAAAGGCCUACCAAGGCGACGAUCAGUAGCUGGUCUGAGAGGAUGAUCAGCCACACUGGAACUGAGACACGGUCCAGACUCCUACGGGAGGCAGCAGUGGGGAAUUUUGGACAAUGGGGGAAACCCUGAUCCAGCCAUUCCGCGUGAGUGAAGAAGGCCUUCGGGUUGUAAAGCUCUUUCAGGAGGGAAGAAACGAUUAUGGUUAAUAACCAUGAUUAAUGACGGUACCUUCAGAAGAAGCACCGGCUAACUACGUGCCAGCAGCCGCGGUAAUACGUAGGGUGCGAGCGUUAAUCGGAAUUACUGGGCGUAAAGCGUGCGCAGGCGGUUUAUCAAGUCUGAUGUGAAAGCCCCGGGCUUAACCUGGGAACUGCGUUGGAAACUGAUAAACUAGAGUACGGCAGAGGGGGGUAGAAUUCCACGUGUAGCAGUGAAAUGCGUAGAUAUGUGGAGGAAUACCGAUGGCGAAGGCAGCCCCCUGGGUCGAUACUGACGCUCAUGCACGAAAGCGUGGGUAGCAAACAGGAUUAGAUACCCUGGUA
rnacentral:rRNA from 1 species